GGACGAACGCUGGCGGCGUGCCUAAUACAUGCAAGUCGAGCGGACCGACGGGAGCUUGCUCCCUUAGGUCAGCGGCGGACGGGUGAGUAACACGUGGGUAACCUGCCUGUAAGACUGGGAUAACUCCGGGAAACCGGGGCUAAUACCGGAUGCUUGAUUGAACCGCAUGGUUCAAUCAUAAAAGGUGGCUUUUAGCUACCACUUGCAGAUGGACCCGCGGCGCAUUAGCUAGUUGGUGAGGUAACGGCUCACCAAGGCGACGAUGCGUAGCCGACCUGAGAGGGUGAUCGGCCACACUGGGACUGAGACACGGCCCAGACUCCUACGGGAGGCAGCAGUAGGGAAUCUUCCGCAAUGGACGAAAGUCUGACGGAGCAACGCCGCGUGAGUGAUGAAGGUUUUCGGAUCGUAAAACUCUGUUGUUAGGGAAGAACAAGUACCGUUCGAAUAGGGCGGUACCUUGACGGUACCUAACCAGAAAGCCACGGCUAACUACGUGCCAGCAGCCGCGGUAAUACGUAGGUGGCAAGCGUUGUCCGGAAUUAUUGGGCGUAAAGCGCGCGCAGGCGGUUUCUUAAGUCUGAUGUGAAAGCCCCCGGCUCAACCGGGGAGGGUCAUUGGAAACUGGGGAACUUGAGUGCAGAAGAGGAGAGUGGAAUUCCACGUGUAGCGGUGAAAUGCGUAGAGAUGUGGAGGAACACCAGUGGCGAAGGCGACUCUCUGGUCUGUAACUGACGCUGAGGCGCGAAAGCGUGGGGAGCGAACAGGAUUAGAUACCCUGGUAGUCCACGCCGUAAACGAUGAGUGCUAAGUGUUAGAGGGUUUCCGCCCUUUAGUGCUGCAGCAAACGCAUUAAGCACUCCGCCUGGGGAGUACGGUCGCAAGACUGAAACUCAAAGGAAUUGACGGGGGCCCGCACAAGCGGUGGAGCAUGUGGUUUAAUUCGAAGCAACGCGAAGAACCUUACCAGGUCUUGACAUCCUCUGACAACCCUAGAGAUAGGGCUUCCCCUUCGGGGGCAGAGUGACAGGUGGUGCAUGGUUGUCGUCAGCUCGUGUCGUGAGAUGUUGGGUUAAGUCCCGCAACGAGCGCAACCCUUGAUCUUAGUUGCCAGCAUUCAGUUGGGCACUCUAAGGUGACUGCCGGUGACAAACCGGAGGAAGGUGGGGAUGACGUCAAAUCAUCAUGCCCCUUAUGACCUGGGCUACACACGUGCUACAAUGGGCAGAACAAAGGGCAGCGAAGCCGCGAGGCUAAGCCAAUCCCACAAAUCUGUUCUCAGUUCGGAUCGCAGUCUGCAACUCGACUGCGUGAAGCUGGAAUCGCUAGUAAUCGCGGAUCAGCAUGCCGCGGUGAAUACGUUUCCGGGGCCUUGUACACACCGCCCGUCACACCACGAGAGUUUGUAACACCCGAAGUCGGUGAGGUAACCUUUUGGAGCCAGC
rnacentral:rRNA from 1 species